AUCCAGACGACGAGUCCCAAACAGGACGAAAUGCGCAUCUUGGCUGGAU
rfam:Trichobilharzia regenti genome assembly, scaffold: TRE_scaffold0009234